rnacentral:rRNA from 1 species
GAGUUUGAUCAUAGCUCAGAAUCAACGCUGGCGGCGUGCCUAACACAUGCAAGUCGAACGCGGUUAGUAGCAAUACUAACUGAGUGGCAAACGGGUGAGUAACACGUGGGUGACCUACCUUCGAGUGGGGGAUAACGUCCCGAAAGGGACGCUAAUACCGCAUAACAUCCUGUCCUUGAACGGAUGGAGAUCAAAGCCGGGGAUCGUAAGACCUGGCGCUUGAUGAGGGGCCCGCGUCUGAUUAGCUAGUUGGUGAGGUAACGGCCCACCAAGGCGACGAUCAGUAUCCGGCCUGAGAGGGCGGACGGACACACUGGGACUGAGACACGGCCCAGACUCCUACGGGAGGCAGCAGUGGGGAAUUGUUCACAAUGGGCGCAAGCCUGAUGACGCAACGCCGCGUGGAGGAUGAAGGUCUUCGGAUUGUAAACUCCUGUUGCUCGGGACGAAAAGCUUCGACCUAACACGUCGAGGUCUGACGGUACCGAGUGAGGAAG